rnacentral:lncRNA from 10 species
GAGGAGGUUAUGGAGGGCUGGGUGCAGGAGGAGACUAAGCAUUCUUACUUUAUAUCAGGUGGUCCGCAGAGACCUGGGUGAGAGGGAGACAUCUGAAUAGAGAGCUGAAGGAAAUGAAACAACAAGCCAAAAGGAUACGGGAAAGAGCAUUCCAGCAGCAAGAACAGCAGGAGCAAAGGCCCCGCAUCACAAACCUGCCUGAAGUGUUCUAAGAACAGCGAAGGAACAAGAUGUGGCUGUGGCAAGCGGCCAGCCAUCCCCGGUGCCGAGGGACCUGGGAGAAGCUAGGGCAGCUCCGGCAUUGUUCCUG